rnacentral:rRNA from 1 species
UUURGAUUUAAAAUUUUAAUUUGAGUAGUAUUAGUUAUGAUCUUGAAACUUAAAGAAUUUGGCGGUAUUUUAGUCUAGUUAGAGGAAUCUGUUCCGUUAUCGAUAAUCCGCGUUUGACCUUACUCAAUAUUAUUUAAUAUGUAUAUCGCCGUUUAUUUGAAGAUCUUUUUAGGGUUAAUUUUCUUUAAAUUAAAAUUGAUUAUAUUUCAGGUCAAGGUGCAGUUGAUAAUUGAGUGGUAAUGGAUUACAAUAUUUAUUAAAUAUACGAAUUAUGAUUUGAAAAUAUUUUAUGAAGGAGGAUUUAAUAGUAAUUAAUAAUAAGAAUUAUUUUUGUGAUUUUAGCUCUAGAAUGUGC